rnacentral:misc_RNA from 1 species
UGUCUCUAAUAAGCCUUGUGACUGAACAUCAGUUUUUGGGAGAGAUGUCUGGCAAGAGUCUUGAAAGCUUUUGGCUCUGCUUGUAUAAUUUGAGUAGGAGAGAAAACAGGGCUCUAUGAGCCAAACUCCAAAUGCUAUGAAGCCAGUGGCAGAUUAUACUUUGAGAAUUCAUGGAAAAUAUUUUUUAGUUACUGGUAAGAAAAUGUGAUAAUAUUAGUUGGCAACUAACUCUUUUAAAUUUAACAUAUUUUGGCUGCAUUUGGUAGAUUAGAGAUUAAGAUGUUACAAAGAUUUUGGCUACUAAUGAGUUUUGGCUUAGCCGAAUUCGAGUUAUCUUUGAAAUUGUAAGAUCCGAAUUUGAAUCUGCCUGAUAUUAUCUUGUAGAAAUUGAUCAAUUUUGUUAAAAAAUUGGAGAAUACCAUGAGAUCUUCAAAUAAAAUUUCAAG